rnacentral:rRNA from 1 species
GACAGAGGUGCCGAGCGUUAGGCGGAAUCACUGGGCUUAAAGCGUGUGUAGGCGGAUCGUUAAGUGCCUUGUGAAAUCCCACGGCUCACCCGUGGAACUGCUGGGCAUACUGGCGGUCUUGAGCCACCUAGGGGCAACCGGAACAAACGGUGGAGCGGUGAAAUGCGUAGAUAUCGUUUGGAACGCCAAUGGUGAAAACAGGUUGCUGGGGGUGUGCUGACGCUGAGACACGAAAGCCAGGGGAGCAAACGGG